GCCGGUUCUCCAUGGAAACAUACUUAUUAUAGUCAAAUAUUUUGUGCCUUUACUCGUUAACCAUCCUAAAAGCUUGGCGAGUCAUUAGACAGCUUAUAUUUUUUUUGCUUUUGUAGUCGGUCGAAAAAUAGGGAUGUGAUCAUGCAGCUGCCCAAAUGUAAUGCUUUACACCCCCCCCCCCCCCCCCCCCCCCCCCCCCCCCCCCAGGGUUGAUGUUCAAUCUCUUCAAUGAUUCAUAAUUGUUGGAUUCGUUUUUGAUCAUCGCAUUUAAAAAUCAAUUCAUGCCUAGUGAGAGAAAGCAAAAUCUUUUAUAGCAUUCAUAUUGCACCCCACGUGAGCAUAUUUUAAGAGUCGUCCAUGCGGACAGAUCAACAUUGCGGCAUCCCAACAAUAACCAAUCUAUUGAAGUUUCCAAGAAGAUUCCUCGCUAUUGUGGGAAAUUUCACAUGGUUAAUCUGCAAUGUAAUCGUCAAAAUUUUAGAAAAUUAAGAUGAGUGGAGUAGGGUGGGGGUGUAUAACGUAUGCACAAAAAGUUAAUAUUUGUUUUCAAAUUUUAUAAAUUUUAUAAUUUUAACUUCGCUAAAUCUAAGUUUUGACAAUUUUAAACAUGUUAAAUUUAAAUUCUGACAAUUUACACUCAUAAAAAUUAGUAAUUUUACUUAAAUUCAUUAAAAUUUUCAAUUUUGACCUGGAAAUCGCUCAUUUAUACUGGACGUAGGGGGAUCAGGUGUGAACUCCGGGAGGCUGUUGGGGAAGAUGGCGGUGCCGCUGGAUCUGGAGGGUACGGAGGCUAGGGCCUGUGUGUUCCACAAUGGUUGGAUAUCGGUCGGCAAGGACGCGAAGGCCUCGAGCGCAAAGUUUCAAGUCAGUGUGAAGGCAGAGCCUGAUCCGAGAUUCGUGUUCCAGUUCGACGGCUGAGCCUGAGGGGCGUCCUCAAGGUUUCAAAUAUUCAAGGCAACAUUCGGCAGCCGGUGUUCACUGCAAAAUUCAGUUUUUCAGAAGCAACGCCGACGAAUCAAGGUUCCAGGUAGUUUCUCAAUCUCCAAUUAUGAUUCGGUUCAAUUCUUUUAUUAAAUGCUAGGUUAGUAUGUUGAAUUCAAAUUCCUUUGGAAUUUUCACGGGAACCACAGGGUUCUCCAAACGGUAGAUACUUUACAAUGGCAGAAAAUUUAAACAUUUGAACUUUCAAAGACAAAAGUUCGCUGGAAUUGUACUGUAAAGUCUAAAGCUAAUUUCAUUGUCUACUCAGAUCACAUUUUGAUUGUCUAAACUGUGACAUUUUGAAUCUAAAUUCGUCAAGUCUGUAUAGUUGAUCAUAAUUUUAACACCCUGAACGUGUCGUGGAAAAAGGGAACCCAAGACGAAUUCAAAGUCUCCCUUAAGUGUAAAAUUAUAGCCAGAAUAAUGCGAUUAUGCGAGGACCUUUAGGAAAAUGUUUUUAUAAAUUAGAGCCUUAAACCAUCAUCAAGUAUACAAAAAAGAAGAAACAUGGGACCUUUAGAGAAAGUACCCUGCCUUGUUUCCAUGGUCCUGUAUGUUCUGCUCUUCUCUUCACCCAAACCUCCUGCUGCUUCUGCUUCUGCUUCUGCUUCUGCUGAAGAGGCUAAUGCUCUCCUCAAAUGGAAAGCUUCCCUUCAAAGCGCCAGCAAUUCUCUACUAACUUCGUGGACACUUCCUCCUCGUAAUGACUCCGGUUCAAGUGCAAGCGGCCCAUGCCAUUGGUAUGGAGUUUCUUGCGACAGUGAAGGAAGUGUCAUCGGAAUGAAACGUGACAACUCGUCGUAAGCGGGUACUCUCGAAAGCUUUUCAUUCUGCUAGUUCCCUAAUCUUGCAUAUAUGGAUUCUGUAUCAAUCAACUCUUGGUUCCAUCCACCUCAAAUUGGUGCCCUAUCCAAACUUGUUUACCUUAAUUUGUCUCCACCAGAAAAAUCAAUUUCGGGGGGGAACAUCCCACCAGAAAUUGGCCUGCGCUAACAAAAUAUUCGAUAACCCUCCACAUGCGUUCAAAAAACCAGUUUGAAGGCUCAAUUACUCAAGAGAUAAGCUGUUAAAGUCUCUUUCAGAGCUUGCUUUUGUACCACCCAAUCGUAUCAGUGGUCCCAUUCCUGCUUCUUUGGUUGUAAUUUGAGGCAACUUCUUGACUCUCUAUAUCUCUACGAAAAAUCAACUUUCUGGCUCCUUCCACCAGAGAAAUGGAAAUUUGCUAAUCUCAUGUGGCUUUACAUGGAUCAUAAACAAUUUUUAACAGGUCCUAUUCCUUCAACUUUCGUGAACUUGAAUAGGCUAAAAUAUGUUGAAGCUGUCGUGUGAACCAACUUUCUGGUUUCCAUCCUCAAGAAUAGGAAACUUGAAGUCCCUCAUCAGUUUAGAACUGACCCAGAUCCACUUUAUAUAAUAGAUAUAUUGUAAAUGGUACCAUUCUGCCUCAUUAGGUAACAUGUCCAAAUUAGAAACACUCCUCUUCUUGCGUAUCAAACCAAACUUUCUGGUCCCAUUCCAACAGAAGUCGGCCAAUUUGAAAAACUGCUCUUGUAUUGGUAAGGUCACAAAUCAGUAUCGGGCCAUCUACCGGAGAUUUUGCCAAGGUGGGAGGAAAACUUCAAAAAAUCACUGUGACAACAAUUCAGCUCGCCGGGGGCCAAUCCCCAAAAGUCUGAGAGACUGUAAAGCUUAGUCAGAGUCCGCCUGCCUUGAAGGAAACCAAUUCACUGGGGAAAGCAUAUUUGAAGCCUUGAUGUCAUCCAAAUCUAAAAAAUUGGAUCGAAGUCGCAAUAACUUCAUGGUGAAACUCAAAAAACGGAGUAGCUGCCCCCGACUGCAAAACUUUGAUGAGGCAGGCGAACAACAUACCGGUCGCAUACCACCAGAGUUGGGAGAAGAUUCGCCUCAACUUCAAAGGGCUUAACCGUUUCCAAUCAUUUGAUUGGGGAGGUCCCACAUGAAUUGGGGAAGUGAAUUCUCUGCUCGACUCUAUCUGGAGAAACCAACACUCCGGCAGUAUAACUAAAGAACUUGGAUCCCUGACUAAACUGCAGAAGCUGACCUUCCAUAAACAGAUAAAUGGGCCAUAGCAGCUGGAAAUUGGAGAAUUGCAUGCAACUGAUUAACUGAAUUUGAGCAGCAUAAUUUUAGCCAAAGCAUCCCAGAGCAACUGAGUACUUACCUAAAACUGUCAACCAUGGAUCUAAGUCAGAAUUUCACUUUCAGGGAGGGAUUACCGCACAGUUCAAAGUUCAAGAGGUUUGGAUGGGUUGAGCCUCUCCCACAAUAAUCUUUAUGGUGCAUUCCAAGGAAUUUGAAGACAUGCAUUGGUUGCAUCACAUGAUAUAUCCUACAAUGAGUUGGAGGGUCCCAUUCCCACCAGCAAAGCCCGUUAGUGAAUGCUUCCAUAGAGGCAUGCAAGGGAACAAACAUUGUGUGGAAAUGUCACAGGAUUGCAGCUUGCAAAAAUUUCAUUUUGAGUGAACAAAAACACUGCACGAGAACAGACUCUUAUUCUAAUAAUCGUGCUCCCCUUGGCGGAGCACUUUACUUCUAGGUGCACUCGCCGCGGACUUUGUGUCGCAUGGGAUAGAAGAAAGAAAAUUCCAGAAAAAAGGGUCCUACGGGAGGAUCUUCUCCCAUAUCAAUAUACAAUGAUAGAAGCAAUGUAAAUGACAUUCCUCAAGCUACAAAAUAACUUUGAUCCGAUAUGUGCAUAGGAAAGGGAGGAUAUGGAACUGUCUACAAGCAAAACUGCUAACAUAUAGCUGUGAAGAAACAUUCAUCCUUCAAACCGCGAGGGUGAUCGUAAAGGUUUCUUGAACGAGGUCAGAAGCAUUCAAAAAUUAGGAAUCGAAAUUAUAGUAAGCUUUUCGGGUUUUGUAUCGCGUGCCCAACAACUAUAGUUGGUUUACGAGUACUCGAAAGGGGUAGCUUGGCUACCAAUUUUGAGCAGAGAUGAAAGAAGCUCAAAAUUAGAUUGGCCAAAGAGAGUUACUAUUGUCACGGGUGUGCGCAUGCUUUAUCAGAUAUGCACCAUGAUUGUACACCCUCAAUUGUUCACCGGGACCAUAACAAGCAGAAAUGUUUUGAUGACAAGAGUAUGAGGCUCGUGUAUCAGAACUUUGGCAGCAAGUGAAGCUUCCUGAAGCGGAUUCUCUAAUGGGUGCACCUUGUAGGCACAUACGGAUAGUUUGCGCAGGAACCGUAGUUUUAUGUGCUCCUAAAUGAAAUAGAAUUUAUUAAUUCACAAAUAGAUGAACAAUUUCUCUGUCUCUGUCUCUUUCCUUUUUCAGAGUUCGAUUAUAAAAUGAAGGUGACUGAAAAGGUGAGUAUAUAGAUUGGAGUGUUCGAACUGGAAGGGGAUCAAAGGAAAGCAGCCAGGACGAAUUUUGUUCCUUCACGUCAACCCCAGCCGUGGAAAUAUGCAACUGAAAGAUGACUGACCAACGCCUUUUACAUCCCCUAUCCUCGAGAGGAGGAAGGUAAUAAUGUGGAUCAUAAAGAUGGCGAUUGCAUGCUUGCCAUGCCCAAUCCACAAUCUAGGCCAACAUGCAGGUUCGUUUCUCAACUGGUAUCGCCAGAGAACAGAUGAUUUACCGAAAAUGUAAAGCUAUUUUGUGAAAUACAUGAUGUAUUAGGAUAUCAAAUAGAUUAAAUAAUCUGGCAUAUUUAGUGUUAUGUAUUUUAUUGUCCACUUUAGGGUACUAACAUACAGGAUUCAUAUAAGGUGACAAGGUUGUUGGCUUGUACUUCUAAUACUGGUCUUCAGAAAAAGAUUUAUUAGCAUUAUGCAAGUUUCACAAUAUAUAGGAAAAAUUACACAGGGUCUUUGUAAAAUAAUCAGUUAUUGAUCUAGUAGUCUCGAUUGCACCCUCUUUUGAUUCUUAGUACCCAAACCUGCUCAGAAAACAAUGUAAAAUAAAACAAGGCUUUGCUUUUCUCUCAAAACAUCCCCACUGAUCCCCAAAACCGCCCCAAUUCACUCAAUCAAAGACAUAGCGAUUGAGGGUUCACUUACUAGGUUGAUACCUAGGUUUGCUCUUAUCGUUGCAAGAUAGAACUUCUCUGUCCCCUUUCCCCUCGGAAUGAUUGGCUAUAAAAAAAAAGAGAAAAACCUCAAACCCCCGGCCUAGCCUAAUCCCAACCCACCAACGCGGGGCCACUGACCCCGCCACCACCCUUAGUCCCUCUCUAUCGUUGACACUACUCUACCAUCCUCCCUAACAACCCCACCCUUUUCCAACCAUGUGGUCCGCUCUUCAUAUCUGGCCCACUGUCAACCCUCCCUACCCAUCUCUGCACCUCGCCCAUUCCGGCCCUUACAGUGGACUCGGUCCACCAUAAAACUUUCCUCACUAUCUAAGAAGAAGAACGGGAUUACCCAACCCACCAGGAAAACAAUGGAAACAGGAUAUUGUUUUUCUAAAAAUUGGGACAUGGACACGUAGGGGAUACAUUAAAUAAAUUUAUGAAAUAUUUAUAAUCAAUAAAUAAGUAACAUAUGUUCAUAGAAAAAAAUGGCAUAAUAGAUCAGAUUUGGUCCAAGUACAACUCGCCUUAUAAAGUUCAUUAGAAUAAUAAAUGUAAUGAGUUUUUUACAACAAAAAAUGGGCAUUGUAGAUCAAUAUUUGACACUUUAAACAACCAAAUGUGAAAUCAAACGAAUUGCAAACUAAUUAUUUUUCUGUCCCAAAGUAAAAACUCUUUUUGGCACACUUGGCUUCCCAAGUUUCCUUGAGGAAAAUGCCUGUACUAAAAACGUUCACAUUCUUUUUUUUUUUUAAUUAUAUAGUGCCUGAGAUAUCUUUUCUCUAGCAACGUUAGAAACAAGUUGAGGAUCCCCAACCACAAAUCCAUGCUUAUCAUCAAGACCUCACGGUGGGGGUGGCAAAAAAUUGGUAUAUGUAAUGGCAAUUACGAAAGAACAAAUAAAUAUGGUAUCCCUCUCCCCAACUGCCAUUUCCUCUUUCUUUAUCUAUCCAUCACCCUCUAUCUUCUCUCUUUAUAUAUACAUUUGGAAGUGAUUAUGUAUUAAGGAUAGAUACACCACACACACCACACACAACACCACACACACCACACACAAACACAAUAUAUAUAUAUAUAUGUAUAUAUAUAUAUCCUCUUACAAAACUGAAAACUGCAAGGCGCUGCUAGGCUAAUUGGACAAUUUCUAUUUUUUAAGGAAUUUAACGGAUCCCUUACUGAAGAUCAAAAGCUAGAACUAGAUAACAUCUGGUUGCAGUAGUAAUAACUCAUAGUGCGAUGCGCAUUUGCUUCGUGAAUUAGAAUCUGUUCUUUUUACUUGAAUGAAACUAGAUUCGGGAACUGAACCGUUAAUAGAACUUGAUUCUGUGCAAAGUUUUGUUUUCGGUGAAGAUAAAAAAACGAGUCAUGAUCCUUGUUUCCAUGUGGGCAGUGAGAGCGGUGUUAUGAUAGAAACUUCUAAUUGGCUGCCAAAUACAGCCCUUUUAUCAAAAGCCAGAUGCAAACAAGAGGAUUUUCGCUAUUAAAAUCUCAGAUCAAAAUACUAUCUAUGGAUGGAUACAAAUCAAACACAAUACAAAACGAGAAUUGGCCGCCAGUAUUUGACAAAAUAGGAUGCUUCAAGUUUUGUAGAAUUCCAAGUCCUUUGGCCUACUGGACCCGAAACAGAUGCACUACACCUCAUCUCCCCACUGUCGAUUUCACAUUCUGAAUCUUUGGUCCCUUGUUCUAUUGUUCACUUGAUUUUUGUGUACCAGUAUUUUUGUCAAUUGUGUACGAGAGAAUGUAAGCUCACUCACAUAUUUUAAGCCCAACUCUUUGUCCAUAAUUACAAAAAAAAAGGAUUAGGUGUGUGAUUCAUGCCAGUGACCAAAUCGAAUGCUAACACAAGUGUUGAUGUCCAAAUGUAAUGCUACAUAACUAUUCUAUUGAACAUUCUGCAUAAUGGUAGGUGUCACAGGGGCAAUUUUUCACUACUAAAAACUCAUGUGCGAUGGCACUAAGUGUUGCGCUUAGUCUCAACCAAACUUUGCACACAUAUAAUGAGAAGUAAGAAUUCGAAGGAAGGCACACAAAUGAUUUACAUGAAAUCAAUCCCAACCUUUUGUUACACCAGAAAUAAUAUAAUACACUUAGGAUUUUGUACAGAACACACUUUGCACAAUCCUGGCACACUAAGUCUACUUAUAGAAACAUUACAUGCAACUAGAACCCCCCCUAACUGCUACGAUAUUUGGACCAAUAACUGUUAAUAACUACUUCAGACAACCUAUUGUAUAGAGACAACUUUGAAUAGAAUCAUACAAGUGUAAUUGCCAACACCCACAACUGCUUGUAACUGCCUUGUACACACACACCCAGCAACAUGCUGAUGCCAGUCCAUGCCCAGUGCAUAGGGCUUGUUGCCUGCAUUGUGCGGAAUGUCGUGCUCCCAUCUUUGUUCAAAGCCCACACAAUCACGCAUUUGGGCACAAUUCCGCUUGUGCCUUGCAUCUUCUCAGCAACAUCACUAUCUUGAACAUUUGCUACCUUGUCAAGGCAUACCUCCCUUAUGGCUUUGCCAUCAAGGGUAGCGCAGGUGCAAGGUGCUACCACGCACGAACCCCGUGCCUGUGUCGAAGGACUAGUAUGCUAACAGUAGGGAAUGUGGAACAUGAUCCCUUGUUGGUAGGGAAAAUUGGACCUAGUCAAUAAGGACUAUCUCAUAUGACAAUGUCUUACCAGCUAGGCAAUUUAAACAUCACUAACUACAAAAAUUUGAAAAAUUUACAUGGGUGGAUGUGUUUUUUUUUUUUUUUUUUUUUUUUUUUUUUUUUUUUUUUUUUUUUUUUUUUUUUUUUCCGGCGAGGCAGUGAUCGUAUCCUAACACCACCAAGAAGAUGGACCAGCGGCUGAUACUGAGUUAGAAAGGCAAGGGAAGCCUGUUAGGCCGAGUUCAGUAGAAUUAUGUUUCAAGUGCCUCCACUGGCUUGUUAACGUCUCUGACUGCUUGGUGUGUGUGUGCUAGGUUUACAUUGGAUUGUUUUCGUGGGGGGUGGGUUUUAUUAGUCCACACGGUCGCUUUCAGGUAACUAGAUUCUGUCAAGAACUUCACAAAGCAAGAGCAUGAUAGAAGGGACAUAGUCAAGUCUUUGUGCUUGUUGAUUCAUAGCUUUUCCUCCCUAAGUGAAAGGACCCAACAUGACUUCAAGUCUCUCUAAAAUGUUAAUAAAAAACUCCUAGCCACACAACAAUACAAAGGCCUUGUGUAGCAUAAUGUGUCUGUAAAGUAGAACCUUAAACCAUCGUCAAGUAUACAAAAAGAAAAAAAUAUAGGAACUUUAGAGAAACUACUCUGCCUUGUUUCCAUAUUUCUGUUUGCACUACUCUUUUAUUCACCCAAAUUUGCUUCUGCUUCUGGUGAAGAGGCUAAUGCUCUCCUCAAGUGGAAAGCUUCCCUUCAAAGUGCCAAAAAUUCUCUGUUAACUUUGUGGGCACUUUCUUUUCAUAAUGACUCCAGUUCAAGUGCAAGCAUCCCAUGCAUUGGUUCGGAGUUUCCUACAAUACUGAAGGAAGCAUCAUAAGAUUGAACCUCAUAGUGAAGCUUCGGGUUUUGGUUUUGUUCACAUGCCCAAACAUCUUUUUGGUCUAUGAGUACCUCAAAAAAGGGUAGCUUGGCAUACAAUUUUGAGCAGAGAUGAAAGAAGCUAAACCAUUGGAUGGCCUAGAGGGUGAAAAAUUAUUAAGGGUGUUGUGCAGCUUUGUAAUACAUGACACCCAUAUUGCACAACCCCGCCAAAUUGUUUACCGCACCUAUCGAGCAGCAGUAUUUUGAUUGACGAGACGUACGAGGCUCAUGUUUCAGACUUUAGCACGAUAAAGCUUCUGAACCUGGAUUCCUCUAAUUGUAGUGCAUUUGAAGGCACAUAUAGAAUAUGUUGCACCAGGUAACCUCAAUUAAUAUAGAAUCUAAUAAAGAACAAAUAGAUGAACAUCUCUAUAUCUCUCUAUCUGUUUUUGCAGACCUUACUUGGACAAUGAAGGUGACUGAAAAGUGUGAUCUGUAAAGCUUUGGAGUAUUAGCCCUAGAAGUGAUUAAAGGAAUGCAUCCAGGAGAUUUUGUUUCCGCAUUCCCAACACCCGCUGUGGAAAUUGUACAUUACAUCUAGACCAAUGCUUUUUACCUCCCUCUCCUGAAGAUCAUUAUAAAUAUGGCAAUUGCAUGCUUGCAUGCCAAUCCACAAUCUAGGCCACCAAUGAAGAUUGUUUCAUAGUUGUUAUCUACCAGAACAAUUUCUUAGAGCCUCAGAGAUUCCUAUACCAGUAGUGCAAAGCUAUUUUGUCUAGGAAUUACCAUUAGAUAUCAAUGAAACCAAAUGCUCUCAGCAUAUUGUGGUGUAACAUACGUUUCUUUUUCUUUUUUGGGUAUCAAUUUAUAUAGGACUAUGUAUUAUGAGUGAAGAUUGUUUGCAUGUGCCUUUCAUACUGAAUGAAAGAUGACUAUCGCAAUAAAUGCAAUUGUUGAUACAAAUUAGGAUUUAGGACAACUUACACCAGUGGUCUCUGUAAUUUUCUUUUGAGCAUUUAUAAGAACCAUUGGUCUUUCAGUUUUCCAAUUGUCUCACCGACAAUCCUUAUUAAGAUUGGAUAGUAUAAUGACCAACAUUAUUGCUCAUUGACAACUCUUAAGAGAGGGGCAUUUUUCAUUUUAGACAUUACACCCCUCUUUCUUCCUUGAAAUGGAUGCACUGCUAGAUACAUUUUGUUUGCAACAAGAAUCUUAUUGCGACAAGAAUUUUCUUCUUGUAAUCAAGGAAGUCAUCCAAUAUUGUUGACCUUAGAAAGCAUUUCUUACAAGAAGUUGCGAUGGUGGGCUUUAGUUUCUACCCAAAAAACCAAGCAGCCCUUCUCAGCAAUAGUCGUGUCGCUGGUGUAUGACAAAAUAAGAUCCUCUAAUUUUUGUAGAUUUCCAUGUCCAUAGGUAUAGGGAUGUCAUUCAUGCCAGUGCCCAAAUGUAAUGCUGACACAAGUGUUCGUGUCCUAUAUCUUC
rnacentral:lncRNA from 1 species